rnacentral:rRNA from 1 species
ACGCUCGACACCUACGGAGGCAGCAGUGAGGAAUAUUGGUCAAUGGGCGCUAGCCUGAACCAGCCAAGUAGCGUGAAGGAUGAAGGCUCUAUGGGUCGUAAACUUCUUUUAUAUAAGAAUAAAGUGCAGUAUGUAUACUGUUUUGUAUGUAUUAUAUGAAUAAGGAUCGGCUAACUCCGUGCCAGCAGCCGAGGUAAUCUGAGCGGGCUGGCAAGGC